rnacentral:rRNA from 1 species
GGGGGGCCAUUUAUGCAUGCACUGCGAUAGGGGAACAUCGAGUGAUACUCAUCUUGGGUGUCUGUCCCACCGUCUAAAAAACGGUGGUUAGCAAGGGCCGGGCAAGACCGGUGCCAGCCGCCGCGGUAAUACCGGCGGCUCGAGUGGUGGCCGAUAUUAUUGAGUCUAAAGGGUCCGUAGCCGGCUUUGCAAGUCUUUUGGGAAAUCCAGCGGCUUAACCGUUGGUCGUCCGGGAGAUACUACAUUGCUUGGGACUGGGAGAGGUAGGAGGUACUCAGGGGGUAGGAGUGAAAUCCUGUAAUCC